GAUGAACGCUGGCGGCGUGCCUAAUACAUGCAAGUCGAGCGAACAGACGAGGAGCUUGCUCCUCUGACGUUAGCGGCGGACGGGUGAGUAACACGUGGAUAACCUACCUAUAAGACUGGGAUAACUUCGGGAAACCGGAGCUAAUACCGGAUAAUAUAUUGAACCGCAUGGUUCAAUAGUGGAAGACGGUUUUGCUGUCACUUACAGAUGGAUCCGCGCCGCAUUAGCUAGUUGGUAAGGUAACGGCUUACCAAGGCAACGAUGCGUAGCCGACCUGAGAGGGUGAUCGGCCACACUGGAACUGAGACACGGUCCAGACUCCUACGGGAGGCAGCAGUAGGGAAUCUUCCGCAAUGGGCGAAAGCCUGACGGAGCAACGCCGCGUGAGUGAUGAAGGUCUUCGGAUCGUAAAACUCUGUUAUUAGGGAAGAACAAAUGUGUAAGUAACUAUGCACGUCUUGACGGUACCUAAUCAGAAAGCCACGGCUAACUACGUG
rnacentral:rRNA from 1 species